AUGCCCGCCGGCCGCCGCGACUCCCGGGCCGCCGCCGCCGCCACUGCCGCCGCCACUGACGCGCUCGGGGCCCUGCGGCCGGCGGGGGGCGGGGGGCGGGGGGCAUGCGGGGGCGGGCGCGGGGGCGGGCGCGGGGGCGGGCGCGGGCGCGGGGGCGGCGGGGGGGCGGCGCGCGCGGCCGCGGGGCGGAGUGAGCGUGGCCCCCGGCGUGCGGGGCGGCGGCGGCGGCGGCGGCGGGGCCCCAGCGCCGGGCGGGAGGCGGCGGGGCCCCAUGGAGUGUUACUACAUUGUCAUCAGCUCCACGCGGCUCCGCAACGGACACUUUCGCAACAUCAAGGGAGUUUUCCGGGGCCCCCUCAGCAAGAACGGGACCAAAACUCUGGCUACGUUACCAGGCAAAAAAAAAUAAAGGUGGACUGUGACAACCGCUACGUAAUAACACGAGAACAGCUAACACGGGACGCAAAGAAGCCUGCAGGACUUAAAGGAGUUGAUAUGAUGAUACAGGCUGCAACUCAAAAACUCAGAAGGCUGGGAUCCCUGGGUGGCGCAGCGGUUUGGCGCCUGCCUUUGGCCCAGGGCGCCAUCCUGGAGACCCGGGAUCGAAUCCCACGUCGGGCUCCCGGUGCAUGGAGCCUGCUUCUCCCUCUGCCUGUGUCUCUGCCUCUCUCUCUCUCUGUGUGA
rnacentral:lncRNA from 1 species